UACGGAGGGUGCGAGCGUUGUCCGGAAUCACUGGGCGUAAAGGGCGCGUAGGCGGAUGUCUAAGUUGGGGGGUGAAAGCCCGGGGCUCAACCUCGGAAUAGCCUUCAAUACUGGAUAUCUUGAGUUCGGGAGAGGUGGAGUGGAAUGCCGAGUGUAGAGGUGAAAUUCGUAGAUAUUCGGCGGAACACCAGUGGCGAAGGCGACUCGACUGGCCCGAGUACCUGACGCUGAGGCGCGAAAGCGAUG
rnacentral:rRNA from 1 species